AGAACGAACGCUGGCGGCAGGCCUCAAACAUGCAAGUCUAGGGGGUGUAGCAAUACAUCACCGGCGGACGGGUGCGUAACACGUGGGAAUAUACCUUUUGGUUCGGAACAACGCAGGGAAACUUGCGCUAAUACCGAAUGUGUCCUUACGGAGAAAGAUUUAUCGCCAAAGGAUUAGCCCGCGUCCGAUUAGCUAGUUGGUGAGGUAAUGGCUCACCAAGGCUCCGAUCGGUAGCUGUUCUGAGAGGAAGAUCAGCCACACUGGGACUGAGACACGGCCCAGACUCCUACGGGAGGCAGCAGUUGGGAAUCUUGGACAAUGGGGGAAACCCUGAUCCAGCCAUGCCGCGUGAGUGAUGAAGGCCUUCGGGUUGUAAAACUCUUUCGGACGGGACGAUAAUGACGGUACCCGUAGAAGAAGCUCCGGCUAACUUCGCGCCAGCAGCCGC
rnacentral:rRNA from 1 species